UUCGGGUAACUCGAGUUCUACAAGUUUUCACAACCAACUAAGGGUAUGGAUGAGUUCCUGAGCUCAUAAGGAGUACAGAAGUCACCUUCACAGCCUCAAUCCGUGACUGGUGAAGCUCGUUGAAAGGUUGACCGUACACUUGUACGGAAAAUGGGAAAAAUUCCUAGAGAGAAGGAGAGAGAGAGGUCAACAGGUUGAGUGGGUGUGUGAGUCCAAUUUGCAGCCAAUCAAACACAACCUUAAGUCUUUUAGUUCUAAUUGGGUCCAAUUAAUUAGGAAUAGAACUAAUUGGUCCAAAACCUUAGCCUAUACGCACACACACACACACAAAACUCAACGAUUAAAGGGCAUAUAAGGCAUUUCACACCAUCGCUACAAGUUUGAAAUGCAAGCAAAUAGGAUGAAUAUGCGACCCGAAACGAGCCAUAUUCAAGUUUGAAAUGAUCGAGAUGGUCGAGCUACAUGUGCAUUUGCCAUAGUUACGUUGACAAAUUAUGUGUUGGAACUAAAUUUGCGCACCUCUGUGAGUAGUGUUCGAGUAUAAGUAAGUUACAAAACAGUAAAACAAUCGUGCCUAGGACUGGGGGAGUGUGUCGGCCAAAGGUUCUCCAACGGUCAAGUCAAUAGCAAAAACAACCAAAUCUUAUUCCACUAAGCGGGGUUGUUUGUAUGAAUUUACAUCCAAUUGAAAAGUUCAAGUCUACUAUGUACCCUACUUGCAACUAUGUUCAAUAUUAGUUAAAGGUAUUUGAUUUCUACUCAUUCAAAUUCUGUUUAAUUUAACCACCACAAGGUGAUUCAGUGAUUUGGGAUGAAUUUCAGGCAUGUAUUCCACAUGACACGUUCUGGUUAGAUUCCUAGCGCUGGUGAAUCACACAUUGUGCUCAGGAGGCAGCUAAAAUGUCUCCAUAAUUUUUCCAGCCAUCGAAAUAGUAGAUUGUCGCGACGAUACCACCAACCAAUCCCUUUUUAAAAUAAAUAAAUAAAUAAAUUUUGUUUAAAUUGUUUUAUCGCUGAUGGUGUUUUUGUUUU
rnacentral:lncRNA from 1 species